CUCUCCUCCUUUGGACGGUCUAAUAUUACCUGGAGUGACACGAAAGUCGAUGAUUGAACUGGCGCACAAGUGGGGUGAAUUUAAAGUAUCGGAAAGGCUAUUUACGAUGAAAGAAUUGAAGAAAUGUCUCAAGGAGAGAAUAAAGUGAAAGAAAUAUUUGGCGCUGGUACGGCUUGCGUCGUAUGUCCUGUCAAAGAUAUACUUUAUAAAGAUGAGAUGCUUCAUAUACCAACAAUGGAAAAUGGUACAAAGAUCGCCAGACGGUUUUACAAGGAACUUACUGAUAUUCAGUAUGGAAAAGUUUCCAUUCCAUGGGCAUAUGUUGUAAAUGAUUCAUCUGAUGAG